GGAUCAGAUUGUCGGUCGUGCCUCGGUACGCACUGGCAUUAUUGGUUCCUACCUUCUGAAGAACCGCGAUGUCAUUAAUUUGGUGUCGUGGGGAAUCAGGACUGUUACUUUGAAAAAAUUAGAGUGUUUAAAGCAGGCGCACGCUUGAAUACAUUAGCAUGGAAUAAUGAAAUAGGACGU
rnacentral:rRNA from 1 species